ACACAAAGACAGCUCACAUAUUGAAGAGACAGGGUGAGACUCACCUCCAGGCUGUGGACAAACUGCAGACUGGAUGAAGUAAACACAGUCGGACCACUGAAGGCUUCAGGAAACUGAAAUGGGCUGAAACACUCGCUGAUGAAAUCCAGAAAUCCUCCUCUGGCACACAAACCCGCAGGGGGCAGCAGAGUCCAAUGUUCGAGUGUUGAGCCCGCCUGCAUCAUCAAAACCAAGAAAAAAAAAGUGAAUUAUCACAUUAAAUGCAACACUUUCAUUAGAAGUCAAAAGUAAAGCAUGGCUGCUGGCACUAACAGGAUUGAUGCUACCACAGUUGCAUUGCUCUCUGACAGAGCUCUCCUGAGGGAGGUGAUGACACCAUGAUGCUACGAAGUUGCUGAAAACCAGCCAAUCCCCGCUGACACGAGCUGGUCUCCAUGAGUUCAAAGGGUGAAAGCAGCCUGCGUGUCUUCUUUCACACAUGAAACCCCUGAACGACUUUCAAACUGAAUCAGAAUGAGCAGCCAGAGACUAGUUUCUGACAGAUUCAUGGCACACUAAAGAGGAGACGGAGUGUGGGAAAGUGUGGUUAAGGACGACUGAGCGCCUGAUGCACCGUUGGACUACAGAGGCCCGCAGGCUGGCAGGCGCACACAUCUACCUAACACUUAAUCGAGAACAAAGUGGAGGAAGGGGAGGUACGGCGGCGCGUCAGUUAGUUUGCCCUCACUGAGGUGAGACGGCCAACGCAACCCGUGAUAGUUUCCUCCACUUUCCUCGCCCGCAGCCGAACAAAUCUGUGUGUAUAGCGUAUACGUCAGCUCACCGUGAGACAACACGACCCAGAUAUGUCCUACUUGGAAAUAAAGAGGCUGGCAGAAACAGAGGCAGAAAUAUGGCAUCAACAGCGCUGGCUUCCUGUGGAGAGGAGGGGUAAUGACAGGGAAGGAGAAAUGAAGGAUGAGUUUGUCUGCACUGCAUGCAUUCCUCCAGAAAACCAUUUAUUGUCUUCAGUUACCAGUCUGAGCGGGCCCAGCAAUACGGCAUGGGCCUCCAGCAGCGUGGUGUCGUCGUUGGCUCCCAGUGGGGACCGGUGCUGCUCUCCACCUUCCAUCAGAGCUACAACUGCAGGGAGAAGGCAGCAGCGAAGCCGGAUGUCUGUCUGCGGUGGGAUGGUCGCUGGAGGCCCUGCUGACGUCUGAGCUCAAGGAGUUUCUGGUGAACCUGUAUGACUUUGUCUGAUUUCGCCGGAAUCUGACUCAGUGAUAAGCAUUAAGAAUAACUAUAAAAAUAGCCAGAUGGUCUUGUUUGCUCACGUAGGUGAUAUAGAGGCAUCAGUAUUAAAUUGAGACAGUUUCAUAUCCAGUUAAAAGUCCCUCGCAGUAACUUUAAUGCAACUUAUAUUGAACACAUAUUUAGGGCUUAGUGCCUUUUAAGAGACACAAAUUCAAUGAGCAACCCUCCAAUAAUAAAACACUAAGACAAACACAAGGAGGAUUUGCGCAAACUUGCUGCUGACUUUCUCUGAAUAUCAGGCAGUAUGCUCUCCCUCUUCUUAGCCAGUUCCUUCUUCACCAAGCAAACACAUGUGAUGCAAUCCAUAUUUUUUAAGUCUUUAUAAGAAAAUGUAACAUGAACAUGCUGAGCUUUCACAGAACAGAACGCCCUGAUCUACUUCCCAACGUGUUUCCCUGUAUGACCAAAUCAA